rnacentral:rRNA from 1 species
UACAGGGGGUGCAAACGUUGCUCGGAAUCAUUGGGCGUAAAGCGCACGUAGGCGGUUCGUUAUGUCGGAUGUGAAAGCCCUUGGCUUAACCGAGGAAGUGCAUCCGAAACUGGCGAGCUAGAGUACGAAAGAGGAUCGCGGAAUUCCCGGUGUAGAGGUGAAAUUCGUAGAUAUCGGGAGGAACACCAGUGGCGAAGGCGGUUGCCUGGAGCUUUGCUGACGCUGAGGCGCGAAAGCGUGGGGAGCGAUCCGG